rnacentral:lncRNA from 1 species
AGUCUAGUCUGUGACCUGAGCCAUCAUGGUAGGGUGUCCAGGGUGAGGGGAGGGUGGUGUGAAUCCCCAGUAAUGCAGGUCCUUUCCAGGCCAGGCCCCUGGUCCCCAGGAGUGCGGGGAUGCCUGAGGUCUACUGCUGCCUUAUCCAGAGCUGCCAUCCCCGGCGAUGACUCAGAGUUCCUGUGGCCCCAGCAUCAUCCCUCCAUCCCUGGCUGUGAGGCAGGAGCAGAGUUGCAGACCUGAGAGGCCUUGAAUUUGUUUGAUAUAGGACUUUGCCACCAGACAAAGUGCUUUGCCUGUGAGGUCUGGCUUGGCCUGGCCUCUGAGAAAGAACAAACACAGACCUCACUGGAAGGAACCUGGAGAACGGGAGAGGAGAGGCUGCUGCUGUCUGCCCUCCCAGCAGCAGAUAUAAAGACAAUGGGCUUCUAAGUCCCCUAGAGUCCCAGCUGUGUAAUUUAAGGCGAGUUCAUCUCUCACAGCCUCAGUUUCCUCAUUUGCUGGCACCUGUCUUUCUCCUUCAUAGCCAUUGUCACUGUUGCAAUGAUAUCAACAAUGCUUACAUUUCAGAUAGAUCCCCAGCUGGGUUGAAAGGAACGUCAAGACCCUUCCUUUCUUAUGACCUAUGUAUCAACUCCCUUCUACCUUGCCUCCCUCCACUUGGAGCGAGUUCUAGUUGGUGAAAUGUAGCCAGAGGUUCCUGGAAAGGCUUUCCUUCUCAAGUAAAGCCUGGCUCAGAGAAAACCACUGGUCUCUUUCCUUUUCUUCCUCCUGACAUGAACAUGGGGCAGGAAGGAGCAUGGAGAAGACAAGAACAAGGCUCUCAGAAGGAAAUGGUGUGGCUGGAGCCAUGAGAACUGGUUGUGGAGGGGGCAAAUAUAAUUUCUGACCUACGUAAUGAUGUAUGCACAAGAAGCCUCUCUUGAAUGUAUUAAUUCAGUAAACAGUUAUGGAGUCCUUACAAUGUGCUAGUGGGACUUUGAAGAUGAAUCCAAAUUUGGAUCCUGGCCUGGAAAGGCUCAAAGCCCAAUAUGGGAGCCUGGAUACAAAUGUGAAACUUAUCUUCUUUUAUUAACCAAUCAAUCACCUCCUGCCAAAACAACAUCAGCAAAAACAACAGAAAAAAACAAAAACAAAAACAAAAACAAAUCUGUGUACACAAGACCUUUGUUUCCACAGCAGACUUGGCUAAAGGUUUGGGCAUGCAUAUGCAUACCCCCAAAAUUAAAAAUGGAAAAUUGAA